rnacentral:rRNA from 1 species
AGAGUUUGAUCCUGGCUCAGGAUGAACGCUAGCUACAGGCUUAACACAUGCAAGUCGAGGGGCAUCAGGAAGAAAGCUUGCUUUCUUUGCUGGCGACCGGCGCACGGGUGAGUAACACGUAUCCAACCUGCCCUUUACUCGGGGAUAGCCUUUCGAAAGAAAGAUUAAUACCCGAUAGCAUAAUGAUUCCGCAUGGUUUCAUUAUUAAAGGAUUCCGGUAAAGGAUGGGGAUGCGUUCCAUUAGGUUGUUGGUGAGGUAACGGCCCACCAAGCCUUCGAUGGAUAGGGGUUCUGAGAGGAAGGUCCCCCACAUUGGAACUGAGACACGGUCCAAACUCCUACGGGAGGCAGCAGUGAGGAAUAUUGGUCAAUGGGCGCUAGCCUGAACCAGCCAAGUAGCGUGAAGGAUGAAGGCUCUAUGGGUCGUAAACUUCUUUUAUAUAAGAAUAAAGUGCAGUAUGUAUACUGUUUUGUAUGUAUUAUAUGAAUAAGGAUCGGCUAACUCCGUGCCAGCAGCCGCGGUAAUACGGAGGAUCCGAGCGUUAUCCGGAUUUAUUGGGUUUAAAGGGAGCGUAGGUGGACUGGUAAGUCAGUUGUGAAAGUUUGCGGCUCAACCGUAAAAUUGCAGUUGAUACUGUCAGUCUUGAGUACAGUAGAGGUGGGCGGAAUUCGUGGUGUAGCGGUGAAAUGCUUAGAUAUCACGAAGAACUCCGAUUGCGAAGGCAGCUCACUGGACUGCAACUGACACUGAUGCUCGAAAGUGUGGGUAUCAAACAGGAUUAGAUACCCUGGUAGUCCACACAGUAAACGAUGAAUACUCGCUGUUUGCGAUAUACAGUAAGCGGCCAAGCGAAAGCAUUAAGUAUUCCACCUGGGGAGUACGCCGGCAACGGUGAAACUCAAAGGAAUUGACGGGGGCCCG